rnacentral:rRNA from 1 species
ACAGCAGUAGCCGCGGGAAUACGGAGGGCGCGAGCGUUACCCGGAUUUACUGGGCGUAAAGGGCGUGUAGGCGGCCUGGGGCGUCCCAUGUGAAAGGCCACGGCUCAACCGUGGAGGAGCGUGGGAUACGCUCAGGCUAGAGGGUGGGAGAGGGUGGUGGAAUUCCCGGAGUAGCGGUGAAAUGCGCAGAUACCGGGAGGAACGCCGAUGGCGAAGGCAGCCACCUGGUCCACUUCUGACGCUGAGGCGCGAAAGCGUGGGGAGCAAACCGGAUUAGAUACCCGCGUAGUCCCUGUCUCUUAUAC